AGUGAACGCUGGCGGUAGGCCUAAUACAUGCAAGUCGAGCGACCACACAGUGAGCGUUCGCCCCUACGGGUGGCGGCGGACGGACGAGUGAGGAGUACAUAAGCAACCUAUUAUUCUUGGAUGACAACGUGAAGCCACUUCUACUACUACCGCAUACAUCGUACGGGAUGAAUCAAUAGUUAAUCACGGCUUUGCCGUUACAUAUAGACGAGGUCGCAUUAGCUAGUUGGCGGGGUAAAGGCCCACCAAGGCAACGAUCCGUAGCUGGCCUGAGAGGAUGAUCAGCCACACUGGAACUGAGACACGGUCCAGACUCCUACGGGAGGCAGCAGUAGGGAAUAUUCGACAAUGGGCGAAAGCCUGACGGAGCAAUACCGCGUGGGUGAAGAAGGUCUUCGGGUUGUAAAACUCUGUUGUUAGGAAAGAAAAAAAGUGUAUGUAACCACCGCCGUUUUGACGGUACCUAAACAAUAAGCACCGGCUAACUACGUG
rnacentral:rRNA from 1 species